rnacentral:rRNA from 1 species
GACGAACGCUGGCGGCGUGCCUAAUACAUGCAAGUCGAACGGUUUAGUUCCAAGAGGCUUGCCUUUUGGAACUAGACAGUGGCGGACGGGUGAGUAACACGUAGGCAACCUACCUGUCAAACCGGGAUAACCUCGGGAAACCGAAGCUAAACCCGGAUAAGCUCCUUUUUCGCAUGAAGGGGGAGUGAAAAGGUGCGACCUGAUGACAGAUGGGCCUGCGGCGCAUUAGCUAGUAGGUAGGGUAACGGCCUACCUAGGCGAUGAUGCGUAGCCGACCUGAGAGGGCGUACGGCCACACUGGGACUGGGCUACGGCCCAUACUCCUACGGGAGGCAGCAGUAGGGAAUCUUCGGCAGUGGGCGAAAGCCUGACCGAGCGACGCCGCGUGAGUGAGGGAGGCCUUCGGGUUGUAAAACUCUGUUGUUUGGGAAGAAGGGAAAGAGUAGGACCCUUAGGUGACGGUACCAAACGAGAAAGCCCCGGCUAACUACGUG